AAUAGAGGGCAGCGUUAUCCGGAUUUACUGGGCGUAAAGCGCGUGCAGGCGGCAUGGCAAGUUGGAUGUGAAAGCUCCCGGCUUAACUGGGAGAGGUCGUUCAAUACUGCCAGGCUUGAGAGUGGUAGAGGGAAGCGGAAUUCCGGGUGUAGUGGUGAAAUGCGUAGAUAUCCGGAGGAACACCAGUGGCGAAAGCGGCUUCCUGGCCCAUUUCUGACGCUCAGACGCGAAAGCUAGGGUAGC
rnacentral:rRNA from 1 species